rnacentral:rRNA from 1 species
GACGAGCGCUGGCGGCGUGCUUAACACAUGCAAGUCGAACGGAAAGGCCCUGCUUUUGUGGGGUGCUCGAGUGGCGAACGGGUGAGUAACACGUGAGUAACCUGCCCUUGACUUUGGGAUAACUUCAGGAAACUGGGGCUAAUACCGGAUAGGAGCUCCUGCUGCAUGGUGGGGGUUGGAAAGUUUCGGCGGUUGGGGAUGGACUCGCGGCUUAUCAGCUUGUUGGUGGGGUAGUGGCUUACCAAGGCUUUGACGGGUAGCCGGCCUGAGAGGGUGACCGGCCACAUUGGAACUGAGAUACGGCCCAGACUCCUACGGGAGGCAGCAGUGGGGAAUAUUGCACAAUGGGCGGAAGCCUGAUGCAGCAACGCCGCGUGCGGGAUGACGGCCUUCGGGUUGUAAACCGCUUUCGCCUGUGGCGAAGCGUGAGUGACGGUAAUGGGUAAAGAAGCACCGGCUAACUACGUG